GUAUGACAGAACUGUGGGGACACGUAAGGAAAGCGGAAGCCGGGAAUGGAAAGCCCGGUGCAAGCGGGGUACCAGUCACUUUGGCAAAUCCGGGUGGCAAUGGGAAGCCGUGAUGCGGAGCGAAAUAAAGUAGCGAAGUCCGUGAGCCAUGCGUCAAGAAAAGCCGCUAUCGUUUAUACCGUACCCGUACCGUAAACCGACACAGGUGGAUGAGGAGAGAAUCCUAAGGCCGGCGGAAGAAGCAUUGUCAAGGAACUCGGCAAAAUGGCCCCGUAACUUAGGGAUAAGGGGUGCCUGGGAAACCAGGCCGCAGAGAAUAGGCUCAAGCAACUGUUUAGCAAAAACACAGGUCUAUGCGAAACCGAAAGGUGAGGUAUAUGGGCUGACGCCUGCCCGGUGCUGGAAGGUUAAGAGGAGAGUUUAGCGGUAACGCGAAGCUUUGAAUUUAAGCCCCAGUAAACGGCGGCCGUAACGAUAACGGUCCUAAGGUAGCGAAAUUCCUUGUCGGGUAAGUUCCGACCCGCACGAAAGGCGUAAUGAUUUGAGCGCUGUCUCGACAAUGCAUCCGGUGAAAUUGAAGUACCAGUGAAGAUGCUGGUUACCUGCGCCAGGACGGAAAGACCCCAUGGAGCUUUACUCCAGUCUGGUACUGGGACUCGGUAUUGCAUGUACAGGAUAGGUGGGAGGCUAGGAGAUGGUAACGCCAGUUGCCAUGGAGCCGCUGUUGGGAUACCACCCUUGCAGUAUUGGGUUUCUAACCAGCCGCCGUGACCCGGCGGUGGGACAAUGCCAGACGGGGAGUUUGACUGGGGCGGUCGCCUCCGAAAGGGUAUCGGAGGCGCCCAAAGGUUCCCUCAGAAUGGACGGAAACCAUUCGAAGAGUGCAAAGGCAGAAGGGAGCUUGACUGCGACACCGACGGGUGGAGCAGGUACGAAAGUAGGGCUUAGUGAUCCGGUGGUAUUAAGUGGGAAUGCCAUCGCUCAACGGAUAAAAGCUACCCUGGGAUAACAGGCUUAUCACUCCCAAGAGUUCACAUCGACGGAGUGGUUUGGCACCUCGAUGUCGGCUCAUCGCAUCCUGGGGCUGUAGUAGGUCCCAAGGGUUGGGCUGUUCGCCCAUUAAAGCGGUACGCGAGCUGGGUUCAGAACGUCGUGAGACAGUUCGGUCCCUAUCCGGCGUGGGCGUAGGAUAUCUGAGAGGAGCUGUCCUUAGUACGAGAGGACCGGGAUGGACGGGCCGCUGGUGCAUCGGUUAGACUGCCAAGUCUACGGCCGAGUAGCCAAGCCCGGAAGGGAUAAACGCUGAAGGCAUCUAAGCGUGAAGCCCCCCUUAAGAUGAGAUACCCCAUUCGAAAGAAGUAAACCCCCUUGAAGACGACGAGGUAGAUAGGGCAGAGGUGGAAGUGCAGCAAUGCAUGGAGCUGACUGUUACUAAUCGGGUGAGGGCUUGACCU
rnacentral:rRNA from 1 species